rnacentral:rRNA from 1 species
UAGGGAAUCUUCCACAAUGGACGCAAGUCUGAUGGAGCAACGCCGCGUGAGUGAAGAAGGUUUUCGGACCGUAAAGCUCUGUUGUUGGUGAAGAAGGAUAGAGGUAGUAACUGGCCUUUAUUUGACGGUAAUCAACCAGAAAGUCACGGCUAACUACGUGCCAGCAGCCGCGGUAAUACGUAGGUGGCAAGCGUUGUCCGGAUUUAUUGGGCGUAAAGCGAGCGCAGGCGGAAGAAUAAGUCUGAUGUGAAAGCCCUCGGCUUAACCGAGGAAUUGCAUCGGAAACUGUUUUUCUUGAGUGCAGAAGAGGAGAGUAGAACUCCAUGUGUAGCGGUGGAAUGCGUAGAUAUAUGGAAGAAUACCAGUGGCGAAGGCGGCUCUCUGGUCUGCAACUGACGCUGAGGCUCGAAAGCAUGGGUAGCGAACAGGAUUAGAUACCCUGGUAGUCCAUGCCGUAAACGAUGAGUGC